AUUGAACGCUGGCGGCAGGCCUAACACAUGCAAGUCGAACGGUAACAGGAAGCAGCUUGCUGCUUUGCUGACGAGUGGCGGACGGGUGAGUAAUGUCUGGGAAACUGCCCGAUGGAGGGGGAUAACUACUGGAAACGGUAGCUAAUACCGCAUAACGUCGCAAGACCAAAGAGGGGGACCUUAGGGCCUCUUGCCAUCGGAUGUGCCCAGAUGGGAUUAGCUAGUAGGUGGGGUAACGGCUCACCUAGGCGACGAUCCCUAGCUGGUCUGAGAGGAUGACCAGCCACACUGGAACUGAGACACGGUCCAGACUCCUACGGGAGGCAGCAGUGGGGAAUAUUGCACAAUGGGCGCAAGCCUGAUGCAGCCAUGCCGCGUGUAUGAAGAAGGCCUUCGGGUUGUAAAGCACUUUCAGCGGGGAGGAAGGGAGUAAAGUUAAUACCUUUGCUCAUUGACGUUACCCGCAGAAGAAGCACCGGCUAACUCCGUG
rnacentral:rRNA from 1 species